rnacentral:tRNA from 1 species
GAUUCUGUAGCUCAGUUGGUUAGAGCGCUGCACCGGAAUUGCAGGGUCGCAGGUUCAAUUCCUGCCAGAGGGU